UACGGGGGGGGCAAGCGUUGUUCGGAAUUACUGGGCCUAAAGGGCUCGUAGGCGGCCAACUAAGUCAGACGUGAAAUCCCUCGGCUUAACCGGGGAACUGCGUCUGAUACUGGAUGGCUAGAGGUUGGGAGAGGGAUGCGGAAUUCCAGGUGUAGCGGUGAAAUGCGUAGAUAUCUGGAGGAACACCGGUGGCGAAGGCGGCAUCCUGGACCAAUUCUGACGCUGAGGAGCGAAAGCCAGGGGAGCAAACGGG
rnacentral:rRNA from 1 species